GUUGAACGCUGGCGGCGUGCCUAAUACAUGCAAGUCGAGCGACCAGACGAGCUGCUUGCUGCCCUGACGUUAGCGGCGGAUGGGUGAGUCACCCGUGGAUAACCUACCUAUAAGACUGGGAUAACUUAGGGAAAACGGAUCUCACAUAGGAUAAUAUAUUGAACGGGGUGGAUCAUUAGUGAUCGCGGGAUUUGAUGUGCCUUAUGGAUGGAUCCGUGCCGGAUUAGCUAGUUGGUAAGGUAACGGCCUACCAAGGCAACGAUGCGUAGCCGACCUGAGAGGGUGACCGGCCACACUGGAACUGAGACACGGCCCAGACUCCUACGGGAGGCAGCAGUAGGGAAUCUUCCGCAAUGGGCGAAAGCCUGACGGAGCAACGCCGCGUGAGUGAUGAAGGCCUUCGGAUCGUAAAACUCUGUUAGUAGGGAAGAACAGAUGUGUGAGAAACUAAGCACUGCUUGACGGUACCUAAUCAGAAAGCCACGGCUAACUACGUG
rnacentral:rRNA from 1 species